rnacentral:lncRNA from 1 species
GGAAAUCUGACAAGGAGUUAAAUUGUUAAUCAAGUCAAUAUAUAUCUGCCCUGAAAUAUUCAAAUGAAUAGGACAACCGGUUAUUGGGUUGCUGCCCUCCAAUUGGUAAUUUUUAAAGAAUUUUGCUGUUUUUGGUUAUUAUCUUGAAUACUAUUAUAGAUAGCGAUAAACUGUAAACAGCGAUAAUGUUCAUCAAAGUAAGAUCUACAAAUAAGUCCACAUGACCUAAAUGGUCAAUUGACCCCUUAAGGAGUUAUUGCCCUUUAUAGUCAAUUUUUAACAAUUUUCAUUAAUUUGGUAAAUUUAUGUAAAUUUUACCAAAUAUUUUUCUCUGUUACUAAUGGGCAAAGUUCAUUAUAGAUAUAAUUGUAAGAAGCAAGAAUGUUCAGUAAAGUAAGAACUUCAAACACAUCACCAUCACCAAAAUACAAUUUUGUCAUGAAUCCAUUUGUGUUCUUUGUUUAAUAUGCACAUAGACCAAGGUGAGCGACACAGGCUCUUUAGAGCCUCUAGUUUU